UACGGAGGAUGCGAGCGUUAUCCGGAUUUAUUGGGUUUAAAGGGUGCGCAGGCGGAAUGUCAAGUCAGCGGUAAAAUUUCGGGGCUCAACCCCGGCCUGCCGUCGGAACUGGGUGCCUUGAGUGGGCGAGAAGUAUGCGGAAUGCGUGGUGUAGCGGUGAAAUGCAUAGAUAUCACGCAGAACUCCGAUUGCGAAGGCAGCAUACCGGCGCCCGACUGACGCUGAAGCACGAAAGCGUGGGUAUCGAACAGG
rnacentral:rRNA from 1 species